AUUCUAGGGAUAUGGGAUGUAAUGUGAGGAGAGGUGCAGAAUAGGAGAAUGGUUUGGGUAUCCACUUUAGAAGCCAUGGACAAAAAUCAAAUAAGUUAAAGCAGAAGAAAUAGAUUGGCAUGAGAGUUUGAAGGACCUUAGAUGUGUGAUAAAGGGAUUGGACUUAUUACUCUGGAAGAAAACACUGAAAAUCUUUCAUUCAAUAAACAUUUGUUAAGUAUAUAUUAGGUGCCCAGCACUGUAGUAAGCCCGCAGAUGCAAAUAUGAAAAAACAAAGAAGCUUACAAUCUAAUAGAAACUGAAAAGGGGGUACAAGAGGUCAUGAUGUUACAUGGAGUCAAAAUCAAGCCGAGCUGAUGACAAAAAAAUGGAGAGUUAUCUGAAAGUUCUGCAAGUUCUGAGAUCUCUAUAAAGGAAAACCUUGAGAGAAGUUCAUUACUCUACUCUCCAACCCUCCAUUCCUAAGGGAGAAGCAACUUGAAGAAGUUGAAAAGGUACUGAAGAAUUGAAAAGACGUUGAAGCAAGAUGAUUCAGAUAACAAGGAAAAAAUGUUAAAUGACAAUAAGAAAGAGAAAUGGGAAGAGAACGAGGAUGAGGAAAGAAGAGAAGAGGAGCAAAAAGAGAAAUUCAAAAAGAAAAAAAGAAAAGAAAGAAAGGGGAAGUGGUGGAAAGAAUUGGAAGACAAGGGAAAGAAAACAAUUCACAAAUUUGAAGGGUUGUACAUGUUUAACAUAUAUUGGCUUACUUCCAAUCUAAUGGAGGGCACGAGAGGAAGGAAGAGAAAAAUUUGGAACACAAGGUCUUUACGUAGGUGAGUGUUGAAAAUUAUCCCUGCAUAUGUUUUGAAAAUAAAAAGCUUUAACAUAUAUAUAUAUAUAGGGAGUUGUUUUGAUCAAAAUACCUUUUUGGACUUUCAAUCAUUUCUAUUAACUUAAAAAUAACUUCUUUGAAAUGAGGAUGCCAAAAAUUGCUGGGGAAAGGUCACAAUUUGUUAAAGGAACAAAAUUUUUAAAAAACUGAAGCAGAUUAAUCCUUAAAAAACAGAACUAGAUCAAAUGGUAAAAAGAUGUACAAAACUCUGAAAAGUAUAAGGUUGUCUUGAAAGGCAGAAUUAGCCAAAUGGAAAAAAGAUAUACAAAAAUUCACUGAAAAGAAGAACUCCUUUAAAAGUAGAAUUGACCACAAAGAAAAGACAAUACAAAAUGCUCUUGGAAGAAAAUCAUUACUUAAAAAUUACAAUGAUCUCCAAUUGAUAAAUGGUCAAAAAAGUGAACAAUUUUCAAUUGAAGAAAUUAACACCAUUUCUAGUUAUAUAAAAAAAUUCUCUAAAUUACUAGUCAUCAGAGAAAUGCAAAUUAAGACAACUCUGUUUUGCCACUACACACUUUUAAGUUUGGCUAAGAUGACAAGAAAAGAGAAUAAUGAAUAUUGGCGGGGAUAAUGUGGGAAAACUGAGACAUUAAUACAUAGUUAGUGGAGUUGUGAAUACCCUUUGAUCCAGCAAUGUCUCUACUAGGGCCAUAUCCCAAAAAGAUCAUAACAAAGGAAAAAGUACCCAUCUGUGGAUAAAUAUUUAUAGCAGUUCUAUUUGCAGGCACAAGGAACUGGAAAUCAAGUGUAUGCCUAUCAAUUGACAAGUGACUGACUAAAUUAUGGUAUAUGAAUGUUAUGGAAUAUUAUUCUAAAGGAAAUGAUAAGCAGAAAGGUUUCAGUAAUGCCAGGAGAAACUCACAUGGACUGAUGCUAAGGGAAGUAAGUUGAACCAAGAAUAUAUUGUAUACAACAACAAAAUUAUAUGACAAUUCUGAUGGAUGUGACUCUUUUGAAGAUGAUGUGGGAACUGAGUAAACAUCAAUAUAAUAUUUUCACUUUUUUCGUUGUUUGCUUGUUCUUUGUUUUCUUUCUCAUUGUUUUCCUUUUGAUCUGAUUUUUCUUGUUAGGCUUUAUAAUUGUGGACAUAUGUAUAGAAAGAUUGUACAUUUAACAUAUUUUGGUUUACUUGCUGUCUAGGGUAAGGGAUAGAGGGAAAGGAGAGAGAAAAAAUUGGAACACAAAGUUUUGCAAGAAAUAUGUAUUGUAUCUAGGAUAUACUGCAACAUAUUUAACAUAUAUAGGACUGCUUGCCAUCUUGGGGGGGGGGUGGAGGAAGGGAGGAGAAAAAAACAAAACAUAAGCGAGUGCAAGGGAUAAUGUUGUAACAAAUUACCCUGGCAUGGAUUCUCUCAAUACAAAGUCAUUAUUAAAUAAAAUAAAAUUUAAAAAUAAAAAAAAGUUUUGCAAGGAUGAAUGAUGAAAACUAUGUUUGCAUAUAUUUUGAAAAUAGCUAUUUAAAAAAGAAAAGAGUUUUGAAGGAAGUGUCUCUGAUGAAGACUUCAUUUUUCUUUUUCUUUUUCUUUUUUAAAUUUUUAAUAGCUUUUUAUUUGCAAGUUAUAUGCAUGGGUAAUUUUACAAUAUCGACAAUUGCCAAACCUUUUGUUCCAAUUUUUCCCCUCCUUCCCCCCACCCCUUCCCCAGAUGGCAGGAUGACCAAUACAUGUUAAAGAUAUUAAAGGAUAAAUUAAAUACAAAAUAAGUAUACAUGUCCAAGCCGUUAUUUUGCUGUACAAAAAG